UCAGAUCCAGAUCUGAGAAACCUGCAUAUCCAAACUCAGAUCUGAAAAACCUGCAUAUCCAAAAACAUUUUAAAUUAAAGAUAUUAAAAUUUUUAAUGGCUUCAAAAUAGAGAAAAUGAGUGAAAGAUUAGAUAGAUUUACCUUUAUAAAAUACAUAAAAAUAGAUAUCCAAAAUUUAAAUGAGUGAAAGAUGAGAAUCAUGUGAUAAAACAUCUGCAAAAAUAAGAUAAAUAAGUGAGAAAGACAUGAGAAAAAAAAUGAAAAUUGAUAUAAAGUUUGGUGUUCUUAAGUUCAAAGAGAUUAGACAAAGGUUGGAAAGUGUUAGUUUGGGAAAAUGUAAGAGCUUUAUGCAAAAAGAUGUUACCAAAUGGAAAAAAAAUCAGACAUGGAAAUUUACCAAAAUGCUCAAUUCUGUUAUGAAAGAGCAAACAUGGAAGAAAACUCCGUUAGAAGAUUCCAGGAAGUCUUCCGAGAAGUCUUCCGGAGUCUGACCCAUAUCUGAAAAACAUGUAUAUUCAAACCUUGAUCUGAAAAACUUGCAUAUCCAAAAACGUUCAGAUGGCUUCAAAAAGAAAAAAUGAGUGGAAUAUUAGAUAUAUGUACCCUUAUAGAACACAAAAAAAAAAGUAGAUAUCCAAAAUUAAUAGAUUUACAUUUAAAAGAGUGAGAUGAGAACCAUGUGAUAAAAAAUCUGCAAAAACAAGAUAAAUUAGUGAGAUGAGACAAAAAAAUGAAAAAUUCAUAUAAAGUUUGAUGUUUUCAAGUUUAAAAAGAUUAGAGAGAGGUUGGAGAGUUUUAAUGAGAAUCAUUAUAUUUUUGUUGCAGCCA
rnacentral:lncRNA from 1 species